rnacentral:rRNA from 1 species
UACGGAGGAUGCAAGCGUUAUCCGGCAUGCUUGGGUGUAAAGGGUCCGCAGGCGGCAAUGUGUGUCUGCUGUCAAAGAAUGAGGCUUAACCUCAUCAAGGCAGUGGAAACUACAUAGCUAGAGUACGGUCGGGGUAGAAGGAAUUCCUGGUGUAGCGGUGAAAUGCGUAGAGAUCAGGAAGAACACCGGUGGCGAAAGCGUUCUGCUAGACCUGUACUGACACUGAGGGACGAAAGCUAGGGGAGCGAAUGGG